rnacentral:rRNA from 1 species
AGAGUUUGAUCCUGGCUCAGAUUGAACGCUGGCGGUAUGCCUAACACAUGCAAGUCGAACGAGGUAGUAAUACCUAGUGGCGGACGGGUGAGGAAUACGUAGGGAUCUGCCCUUAAGUGGGGGAUAACCCGGGGAAACCCGGAUUAAUACCGCAUGAUCUCGCAAGAGCAAAGAGGGGGACCGCAAGGCCUCUCGCUUUUGGAGGAACCUACGUCGGAUUAGCUAGUUGGUGAGGUAACGGCUCACCAAGGCGACGAUCCGUAACUGGUCUGAGAGGAUGAUCAGUCACACCGGAACUGAGACACGGUCCGGACUCCUACGGGAGGCAGCAGUGGGGAAUAUUGGACAAUGGGCGAAAGCCUGAUCCAGCAAUACCGCGUGUGUGAAGAAGGCCUUCGGGUUGUAAAGCACUUUAAGUUGGGAAGAAAAAGCUUCACCUAAUACGUGGAGCCUUGACGGUACCGACAGAAUAAGCACCGGCUAACUCUGUG